rnacentral:rRNA from 1 species
AUACGUAGGGGGCGAGCGUUGUCCGGAAUGAUUGGGCGUAAAGGGCGCGUAGGCGGCCCGGUAAGUCUGGAGUGAAAGUCCUGUUUUUAAGAUGGGAAUUGCUUUGGAUACUGUCGGGCUUGAGUGCAGGAGAGGUAAGUGGAAUUCCCAGUGUAGCGGUGAAAUGCGUAGAGAUUGGGAGGAACACCAGUGGCGAAGGCGACUUACUGGACUGUAACUGACGCUGAGGCGCGAAAGUGUGGGGAGCAAACAGGAUUAGAUACCCUGGUAGUCCACACUGUAAACGAUGAAUGCUAGGUGUAGGGGGGUAUCGACCCCUUCUGUGCCGCAGUCAACACAAUAAGCAUUCCGCCUGGGGAGUACGGCCGCAAGGUUGAAACUCAAAUGAAUUGACGGGG